GAACCUUUUCAGAUUCCGAUUCUCAAUUAGUCUAUGCUCUGAUUUCACCAUCAACACUUAUUUUUCUUCAAUUUUUAGUGAUUCUGUGUCACGACGCUAUUAAUUUCACCAGAAUAUACAUGCUUAUCCCCGAUCAACGUCGACCGGAUAGCGAUUCGGGUCGAACGAGGUUCGAGGAGCGGUGAUCUGAGUGGCCGCUUGAUCAAUUUAUCAAAAAGGCUCAUCCGUUUUUGGAAACAGAGGAAAUCCUCUUUGCUUAUUGUUCUUUAUGGAGCUUCUAAAUGCAACUUCCAACCGAGUCCUCCGAGUGGAAAAUAGAGAACGGGUGCGCGUGCGCGUGCAAGAGCAAGAGGAAAAUACAGAAGUGAGAGCAUGAAAACAAAGAAGUACAAGAAACGGUUUUCUGUUGUUCUCUAAGAAAAACAGGUCAAAUCUUUUUUUGGUGCAGUAGUUUUCUGAAGUCAUUUGUACGAAAUACCCAAAUAGUAUGUUGUUUGCGCUCACGCUCAUUGUUGUGUAUGGAAUUUGUAAAGUGGAGAAAUGAGGAUUCGUAGAUUAAUGUUGUUUGUUUUGCAUAGAAAAUAUAUUUUCUUAGUGAACUUAUUCUGAAAAUCCAAAAGGUGAAAUUUGACUGUUGUUAUGUUAUGAGCUUCAUCUUGGUUUCAUUUA